rnacentral:lncRNA from 1 species
UCUAUGAUCAACAAAACUACUUGCAACUAGUCAGAAUAGAGAACUAUAUACUCCUGAAGAUUACUCUGACAUAGCAGAAGUCCAUGCAUAAUAGCCAUGAUCUCGGCAUAUAACACACUCGACAGUGACAUCGCACCAUAGAAGCCAUUCAAAAAAGCUCCGCAACUAUUGCGAAUGAGCUCUCCAAAGCCAGUUUGUUUGUAACGAAACCAACAUGCCCCCAUCAACAUUUAAGCAAAUUGUGCCUUCAUCCGGACGAGUCCAAAUUACUAGGUGCUGUUCAGAGCUCCCACCAGAUCCUAACAUAUCUUAACGACAUAAUAAUCUUUUUUUUUUUUACAGAAACGACAUAUAAUAAUCUAUUUACAAAUAGUUUAACUUUGAGAAGGUAACUGCAAAAUGUUUAAAUGUAAAAUUUACUAAUUAAUUAGUUCAUAAACUAUAUAUAUACAGGGUGCGUUUGAUCUGUCAAAGAGUAAGUAUUAGACAAAACAGUACAAGAUAGAACAAUGCAAUAUAUAUGAUAUUGGACAAUUUUUUUUUUGGAGGAUUUAAUUAUUGAAUAUAUGAUCUUGGAUUUCCGUUGGAUUUGAUUAAUAAAUGCAUUAGUGGAUAUAAUGAUUUGAACAUAUCUAAAAAGUUUAUCCUUCUGAAUUUUAUCAGUGAUGAAACUCUGAGCACAAAGUAAGUAUUUUAAGUUUAAACAAAAAAUUAUUAUUAGAACUUUUUUGUUACUUUGUUGUUUGCUUAUCUUUAUUUAUUUAUUUUCUUAUUUGUUUGUGUUCUCAAUAAUAGUCUUUAUCUUGUUUAAAGUUGUUGGGUACUUUCU